UGGAGACUUAUGAGGAGGUUAAACACAUCAUAACUAAUAAAGGAAAGACAGCAGCAAUUAUUAAGCAGAGAGAAAAUGUGUGGCAGACAAUUGCAGACCGACUGAAUGCGGGAGGCAGCUACAGACUCUGUCCCACACACAGAAACUGCCCUCUUCAUACAAGUGUCAGGUGACACACUGACCCUUCUGGAGCCACCAGAAGAUGAUCCGGGUCAAGGCACAUCUGCAGCAGAUGAGGAGGAGGAGACUCUUUCUCUGGACUCCAGAAGGUUUGAGCAUGACACAGAUGGUGACCAGCCUGACAGCCUGCCUGGAAAUAUAGUGAGUAUUGCCUGAAGGACAUCCACGGUGUCCACAUUUGCUGUGCUAAUAGAUAU